AUUGAACGCUGGCGGCAGGCCUAACACAUGCAAGUCGAGCGAGCGGCGGACGGGUGAGUAAUGUAUGGGGACUGCCCGAUAGAGGGGGAUAACUACUGGAAACGGUGGCUAAUACCGCCUACUAUCGGAAAACCCAUAUGGGAUUAGCUAGUAGGUGGGGUAAAGGCUCACCUAGGCGACGACCUCUAGCUGGUCUGAGAGGAUGAUCAGGCACCAUGGGACUGAGGCACGGCCCAGACUCAUACGGAGGCAGCAGUGGGGAAUAUGGCACAAGGGGCGCAAGCCUGAUACAGCCAUGCCGCGUGUAUGAAGAAGGCCUUAGGGUUGUAAAGUACUUUCAGCGGGGAGGCGUUACCCGCAGAAGAAGCACCGGCUAACUCCGUGCCAGCAGCCGCGGUAAUUC
rnacentral:rRNA from 1 species